ensembl:lncRNA
GACGAGCAGCCACUCCUGGGGACCUCCCCUCGGACCCGAGCAGCUGUUUACAUGUGUGCCAGGCAAGAUCUGGGUGCUGCUGAAAUCCUGGGACAGGAUGGGAGGCUGCCUUUGGGAAGUUUGUAUCCAGGCGGGGCAGGCAGAUGGGAAAGAAAACAGGCCACUGGAAAGAGGUCAUGAUGGGAAGUCCGGGCAGGGGCGGGCCGAGUGCCAGGAAGAGGGUGUCGUGAGCACGGAAGCCUCGUGAGCUUCUAAAGUCAGCUGAGUGGAGCACAGGCGGCAGGGACAGGAGACAUGAGGUGUUUAGAGCAGCCGUAUGCCUCCCUGCCAAACCUGGAAGCGUCGAAGAUGUGCCCCAGCAGGUGGAUGGGAUAAACUGUGGUCCAUCCAGACAGCGGGUGUCACGCAGCCCCAGAGAGACGAGCUGUUGCACCGUGACAAGACACGGAGGAAACGGAAGUGCGUGUGUGUGUGAGCAGAAGAAGCCAGUCCGAAAGGCGACACUGUGCCUCUGCCGUGGGACAUUCUGGAGAAAGACAGUGAUGGAGACAGUAGAAGGAUCAGAGGUUUUGGGGCUUGGGGAGGGGGAGGGAUCAGUGGGUCGAUGUGGCACAGCUGUUAUCACAGCAGUUAAAGGACCUUGUAUGAUGCUUUUUUUUUUUUUUUGGUCUUCUUGUCUUUUCUAGGGCCACUCCCUCGGCGUAUGGAGGUUCCCAGGCUAGGGGUCGAAUCGGAGUUGUAGCCACCGGCCUCCACCACAGCCACAGCAACGCGAGAUCUGAGCUGAGUCUAUUUGGAGAUUCCCAGGCUAGGGGUCCAGUCAGAGCUGUAGCUGCCGGGCCUAUGCCAGAACCGCUUCUGUGACCUGCACUACAGCUCAGGGCAACACCAGAUCCUUAACCCACUGAGCGAGGCCAGGGAUCGAACCCGCAACCUCAUGGUUCCUAGUCAGAUUUGUUAACCACUGCUCCACGACAGGAACUCGGGACCUCGUAUGAUGCUUAAGGGUGGACACAGGACAUUACAGAUUUCUCACUGCCCACAGAAUGCGUCAUACCAGGAGUGACCCUUAACCUCAGCCGUGGACUUGGGUUUGUAAUAAUGUAUCAACGUUGGCUCGUGGGCUUGAGAAAAUGUACCUCUUGGAGCUCCCGUUGUUGUGCAGAGGAAACAAAUCUCACUAGGAUCCAUGAGGAUGUGGGUUCGAUCCCUGGCCUCGCUCCGUGGGUUAAGGAUCCGGCAUUGCCGUGAGCUGUGGUGUAGGUCACAGAUGCGGCUCGGAUCCUGAGUUGCUGUGGCUGUGGUGUAGGCCGGCAGCUGUAGCUCUGAUGAGACUCCUAGCCUGGGAACCUCCAUGUGCCAUGGGUGUGGCCCUAAAAAGACGAAAAAAAUAUACCUCUAAUGUACAUCGUUAAUAAGAGGGAACACUCUGUGUGUGUGUGUGUGUGUGUGUGUGUGUGUGUGUGUGUGUGUUAGGGGCCAGGUCCAUGAGCACUCUGUAAAAAGCUGUAAAAUUGUCCUAAAAAAUAAAGUAUUAAUAGAAAAAGGAGCA